GAUGAACGCUGGCGGCGUGCCUAAUACAUGCAAGUCGAGCGAACAGACGAGGAGCUUGCUCCUCUGACGUUAGCGGCGGACGGGUGAGUAACACGUGGAUAACCUACCUAUAAGACUGGGAUAACUUCGGGAAACCGGAGCUAAUACCGGAUAAUAUAUUGAACCGCAUGGUUCAAUAGUGAAAGACGGUUUUGCUGUCACUUAUAGAUGGAUCCGCGCCGCAUUAGCUAGUUGGUAAGGUAACGGCUUACCAAGGCAACGAUGCGUAGCCGACCUGAGAGGGUGAACGGCCCCACUGGAACUGAGACACGGUCCAGACUCCUACGGGAGGCAGCAGUAGGGAAUCUUCCGCGAUGGGCGAAAGCCUGACGGAGCAACGCCGCGUGAGUGAUGAAGGUCUUCGGAUCGUAAAACUCUGUUAUUAGGGAAGAACAAAUGUGUAAGUAACUAUGCACGUCUUGACGGUACCUAAUCAGAAAGCCACGGCUAACUACGUG
rnacentral:rRNA from 1 species